UCGCGUACCGCGAUUUCACUGGACCGUCAAUCUCCUCAGGGCAUCGUAAGAGCCUGUACGUUUGACCCCUCAGCUUCAGGCCACUGUCACAGGAGGCAGGUUUGACAGGGCUCCAGAUGCUGAGAUGCGUGAGUUGUAUGCUGGAUUUCUGAAGAAUGAGCAAAGCGGUCGUGCACACAGGUGGUCUUACUAGACAAGCACAGGUCACUAGACCAGAGAGGACAGGUAACCAGCAGGGCCAAGACUUUCUUCCAGAAUUCCUGGUUGUGCCUGUGGAAUGUUUCUAAAGCCUCCAGGGUGAUGGCGCUGUUCCGCUCUGAUUCUGUGUCACACGCCCUGGUCCCCACGGCACCCCCUGAGGUGUAAACCCCUUGCCUGUCCCCUUGCUCUCUUGAUGCCUACCCCCCGUUCCACCUCACCUUUGUUCUGUGUAGUAGCCUACGCGGGGUUAGGGGGUUGGGGUAAAACCCCCCUGUCUGCAAAGGCUCCUAGGGAGCGACAGCGAGUAAAGUGCCUGAGAAACACUGCAUUAGUCCUAGGCCAGCUUAAAUCAAUUCGAAGUCAGUGGACCCAGUAAUUUCCAAGGAUGGCAUUUAAUCAGUUCAAGGGUGAUUUUCUGCAGCAUCCCUCCCUUUCCAGCCAGAGAAGGUGCCGUGCUUGGGGGGGGGGGCACCCCUGCUUAAAUGCCUCCCCCCAUUUAAUACGGGACACCCGCUGUCUCCAGCUCUAUAACCUGAAUCCCAUCUGCAAAGUCGUUUUCCCAUGAGAGGGACCCCAGGCACAGGUCCUGGGGAGUAAGGCCUGGGCCUCUUAGGAGUUCCUGGGGCCCGCUGCCAUGCCUCAUCUCAGCCUCAGUUCUCCCACUCACCAAACAUGGAUAGGAGUGUCAGCCUUAAUGAGAUUAUUGCUCUGGAUGCAGGAGGAAGGCUUACUCCAGGCAGGCCCCCAGCUCUCUCCCUCUGCAUUCUUUUUUUUUUUUUUCAUGGUUUAAAAUACAUAUUUAAUGAUGGGUAAAUACACCAAUGAUCAGAAAAACUGAAGAGUGCCAUUCUCAUUACAAUGUGAUAUGAAAGUGCUGUGGAAAGACAUUUCAUAAAGCAAAAAGUCAAGUUUAAUUUUACAAAAACUGACACCAUUAAAACCAAUGUGAUUAUUUGCCCCCAUCCAGUCACUGAGCUUACAAUAUUAUAAAAAUAUGUUAAAAAGUUGUUUCUUCAUGUAAAAAAAAAACCCAGUGUGUUUCAUAAUUAUCAGAGAUGCUCAUUCCCAUACAGCUAGUAUAAAUUUGAUUAUUAGAAAAUCCUUUGAGCGAGGCCAGGGGCCAAACCCGCAACCUCAUGGUUUCUAGUCAUAUUCAUCUCCGCUGCGCCACAAUGGGAACUCCAAUUUAUUUUUCUAAUCCAUUCUCGGAGGCAAAUAGAAUAGGAUUUCAGAGUGCAUCCUGGGUACUACCUAGAGCCAUUGCCCAUUUUUGGAAGUUUAUUGGGUAUCCCAUUUGGGGGCUUCACCUCUUCUAUGGAUUUACUCAGCCUUUUUGUGGUGGCAAGCUUGUGAGAGGCAUCUAAAGUCACGGGUGUCCCUGCUGGUGCUGCCUCCCAGAGGUUCUCUACCUCUGAUGGUUCUAGAGCUAACUUUCAACGCCCUAAGUCUUAGAAAAAAAAUGAUCAGAAUGUAUCUGAUUGUUGGGUCGAAUGAUUGUGCAUGAUUGCCUCUGGCUAUCGACCAGGGUUGCAUCAUUUCAGCCAGUUUGUUUCACUGUUCUUGAUUGCCUGUAUGUGCGUCUUUUCUUUGCAUUCUUCUUCGGAUCAGCUGUAACAUCUUACUGGUUCCCUCACCAGUUAAUUUAAUGGAAUAAAAGGUUUGACACUUGUU
rnacentral:lncRNA from 1 species